UGAUUUGAAUUUUGAUUCACUCGUUUGUUUGAGAAGGGCAUUCUCUACCAAUUUGGGUUGAGUUUGAUUGAAGUCAGACUGCAAUUUACUUUUGGUGAAAAAAAUUAUGUUUUGGACUUAUAUGAUAGCUAACUGGGGGUCUCUCUUUUCUUUAUUCAGCUCGAAUCAUGUAGAAGGCUCGAUGAAUAAGACAUUGAAGAUGGACAAAGACGAUCUGGAAAGGUAUGACAUGCAGCCGACCGACUCUAUAGGAGAUGUUCCACCUAGCGACGUAGCUGCUAGCGAAGUGACAAGCAGCGACACAACGGCUAGUACGGGAAAGUUUCCACCGCCACAGCCUUCGAUGAAGCCCGUCUAAGUAUCUUCGAAGGAGUUGGGAGAAUCAUUGAGGAUUUCUUGAAAGAGACACAGACCAACAACUCCAACCGAGCACACUUCUCUGACUCUAGUUCUAGAGCCCUCACUACCUAUUCAAGCGAACUCUCCAACGGUUGCACAAGGCGAACAAAUGGAGGGAGUCGAGCGCUCUAGUGAUUGAUCCCCCUCAAUCUCCUGAAUGGCCAAUCUAAGAUCUUCUUGCUCCCUAAGAGCUCCAACCUCGCCGUCUGUUUCCCUAGGUCCCCCGUCUCGAGGUAGGCAGCCAACCACUUCUCAAGGGCAAGAUACUCUUCCCAAGACCCGACACACCAUAAGGCUGACUGACAAUUUGUCAAGAACCUAGAGCCAUGUCAUUGAGAGAUCGAAGCGUCGGUCCUGGCAUGGUCUGGUGUAUGCCUACACUCAAGAUCUUACCUGGCAUGGACUGUAGGCAUGGAUCUAUGCCUCUGAGUUAACGAUUUUUUUUUCCACCUACCGAACCAUGGAGGCGCGCUUGACUGAGUUGGAGGCUCAACAAGCCCCACUGAGCCAGGAGUUGGAAGGGCUCAGGCUAAAGUCACAAAUUUAAAAACAGAGGCCUUAGCUCGAGAGGGGCAGUUGGGCCAAGCGAGUAGGGACUUGGACGUAGCAAAGUGGGAGGCAAUAACCCAAAUAGAAUUCCUGGAGAAGCAAAAGUCCGAUCUCCAAGUCAGCCUGAAGACAACUAAGUCGAGGCUUUCUUUAGAGCAAAAAAGGAGGCAACGAAUGCUAGCAGAUCUACAUAAGAAGGCUAUUGAAGCCUAAGCUCUUACUGUCGACUUGGGAAAGAAAGCUAAGAAUCAUAAGACAGAGCUGGUAAGGAAAAUGAUCGAACUAGUGGCCAAAGAUGCACAGGUUCAUAAUAGAGAGACUGAGUUAAGGCCUUAAAGGUUGAACUAGAGAAAUUCAAAGCAAGAGAAGCCAAGCACUGAGAGGCCAAAAUAGUUGAAUAUCUAUGGUCGGUGGAAUUUUGUGACCUUCUCUACGAGUGAACUAUGAAAAUAUUCUCCUAUGGAGCUGAAGGGACCAUAAAAUAACUCUACGAGAUAGGGCACCUGACAACCGAGCUCCUAGAAGAUUUUAUAAGUCUGCAGAAGAUUUACACAGAUGUUCUGAUGAUGCCUUUCCUGAUUUUACACAGACUUUUGUAAUGCUCUUGUGCUCCCUUAUCAAUUUCAGUGAAAUAUCCGCUUUCGCUUCCAA